UAUUGGCGUAAGGGUGCGUAGGCGGAUUAAUAAGUCAGUGGUGAAAUCCCUGCGGCUUAACUGUAGAACUGCCAUUGAUACUGUUGAUCUUGAAUUUAGUUGAGGUAGGCGGAAUGUGUUGUGUAGCGGUGAAAUGCAUAGAUAUAACACAGAACACCGAUUGCGAAGGCAGCUUACUAAACUAUAAUUGACGCUGAUGCACGAAAGCGUGGGUAGCGAACAGGAUUAGAUACCCUGGUAGUCCACGCCGUAAACGAUGAUUACUCGUUGUUGGCAAUACAUAGUCAGCGACUGAGCGAAAGCAUUAAGUAAUCCACCUGGGGAGUACGUUGGCAACAAUGAAACUCAAAGGAAUUGACGG
rnacentral:rRNA from 1 species